rnacentral:tRNA from 1 species
GCCGGUGUAGCUCAGUGGUAGAGCAUGCGAUUCGUAAUCGAAAGGUCAGCGGUUCAAAUCCGCUCAUCGGCU